CAGGACGAACGCUGGCGGCAUGCCUAACACAUGCAAGUCGAACGGAGUAAUGACUUCGGUUAUUACUUAGUGGCGAACGGGUGAGUAACACGUGAAUAAUCUGCCCUGUACGAUGGGAUAACAGCUGGAAACGGCUGCUAAUACCGUAUAUGACCACGCUGAGGCAUCUCGGAGGGGUGAAAGCGCUUAAGCGGUACAGGAUGAGUUCGCGUCCAAUUAGCUAGUUGGUGAGGUAACGGCCCACCCAAGGCGACGAUUGGUAGCCGACCUGAGAGGGUGAUCGGCCACACUGGAACUGAGACACGGUCCAGACUCCUACGGGAGGCAGCAGUGGGGAAUAUUGGGCAAUGGAGGAAACUACCUUACCCAGCAAUGCCGCGUGAGUGAUGAAGGUCUUCGGAUUGUAAAGCUCUUUGAUUGGGGACGAAUAAAUGACGGUACCCAAGGAACAAGCCCCGGCUAACUAUGUGCCAGCCGCGGC
rnacentral:rRNA from 1 species